rnacentral:rRNA from 1 species
GACGAACGCUGGCGGCGUGCUUAACACAUGCAAGUCGAACGGGAUCCGGGCUUUCGGGUUUGGUGAGAGUGGCGAACGGGUGAGUAACACGUGAGUAACCUGCCCCCUUCUUUGGGAUAACGUCGGGAAAUCGGCGCUAAUACUGGAUAUUCUUGCUGCAUCGCAUGGUGUGGUUUGGAAAGGGUUUCUGGUGGGGGAUGGGCUCGCGGCCUAUCAGCUUGUUGGUGGGGUGAUGGCCUACCAAGGCUUUGACGGGUAGCCGGCCUGAGAGGGUGUCCGGCCACACUGGGACUGAGACACGGCCCAGACUCCUACGGGAGGCAGCAGUGGGGAAUAUUGCACAAUGGGCGCAAGCCUGAUGCAGCGACGCCGCGUGAGGGAUGACGGCCUUCGGGUUGUAAACCCCUUUCAGUAUGGAACAAGGAUCCUUCUUUUGGGGGGUUUGAGGGUACGUGCAGAAGAAGCGCCGGCUAACUACGUG